AGGAAGGGCAUUUGGUGGAUGCCUUGGCAUGCACAGGCGAUGAAGGACGUGGCACGCUGCGAUAAGCCACGGGGAGGGGCGAGCACCCUUUGAUCCGUGGAUUUCCGAAUGGGGAAACCCGACCCUUUAGGGUCAUCCUCUGCUGAAUACAUAGGCAGGGGAAGCAAACCCGGUGAACUGAAACAUCUCAGUAACCGGAGGAAGAGAAAACAAUAGUGAUUCCGUUAGUAGUGGCGAGCGAACGCGGAUUAGCCCAAACCAAUAUUGUUACGGCAAUAUUGGGGUUGUAGGGCUGCGACAUUAGAAUCUUAGUGAACUAGAAUCGUUUGGAAAGACGAACCAAAGAGAGUGAUAGUCUCGUAUAGGUAAGCGAAGAGGAUAUAGCAGUACCCUGAGUAGUGCGGGACACGUGUAAUCCUGUAUGAAUCUACCGGGACCAUCCGGUAAGGCUAAAUACUCCUGAAACACCGAUAGCGAACUAGUACCGUGAGGGAAAGGUGAAAAGCACCCCAA
rnacentral:rRNA from 14 species